rnacentral:rRNA from 1 species
CGAGCGGGGAAAAGUAGCUUGCUACUUAACCUAGCGGCGGACGGGUGAGUAAUGCUUAGGAAUCUGCCUAUUAGUGGGGGACAACAUCUCGAAAGGGAUGCUAAUACCGCAUACGUCCUACGGGAGAAAGCAGGGGACCUUCGGGCCUUGCGCUAAUAGAUGAGCCUAAGUCGGAUUAGCUAGUUGGUGGGGUAAAGGCCUACCAAGGCGACGAUCUGUAGCGGGUCUGAGAGGAUGAUCCGCCACACUGGGACUGAGACACGGCCCAGACUCCUACGGGAGGCAGCAGUGGGGAAUAUUGGACAAUGGGGGGAACCCUGAUCCAGCCAUGCCGCGUGUGUGAAGAAGGCCUUUUGGUUGUAAAGCACUUUAAGCGAGGAGGAGGCUACCGAGAUUAAUACUCUUGGAUAGUGGACGUUACUCGCAGAAUAAGCACCGGCUAACUCUGUGCCAGCAGCCGCGGUAAUACAGAGGGUGCAAGCGUUAAUCGGAUUUACUGGGCGUAAAGCGCGCGUAGGUGGCCAAUUAAGUCAAAUGUGAAAUCCCCGAGCUUAACUUGGGAAUUGCAUUCGAUACUGGUUGGCUAGAGUAUGGGAGAGGAUGGUAGAAUUCCAGGUGUAGCGGUGAAAUGCGUAGAGAUCUGGAGGAAUACCGAUGGCGAAGGCAGCCAUCUGGCCUAAUACUGACACUGAGGUGCGAAAGCAUGGGGAGCAAACAGGAUUAG